AAUUUAAGUGAAAAGAGCGUAGGGUGAAUGCCUAGGCACUAAGAGCCGAAGAAAGACGUAAUAAGCUGCGAAAAGCCAUGGGGAUUGGCAAAUACGAGAUGAUCCAUGGAUAUCUGAAUGGGGAAACCUGAUAGUGAGAACCACUAUUAUCAUUAGAUGAAUAAAUAGUCUAAUGAAGGGAACCUGCUGAACUGAAACAUCUAAGUAGGCAGAGGAAGAGAAAGAAAAUCGAUUUCGUAAGUAGAGGCGAUCGAAAGCGAAGGAGCCUAAACCAAGAUGCGUGCAUUUUGGGGUUUGGACUACAUAAUGUAGUUAUAAGCUUAGUAGAAUACAGAUGGAAAACUGAACCGAAGAGUGUGAUAGUCACGUACACGAAAAGUAAGUAACGCAAGUAGAAUCCAGAGUACCACGGGACACGAGGAAUCGCCGUGGGAAUGCGCGGAGACCACUCCGUAAGGCUAAAUACUCCUUAGUGACCGAUAGAGAUAAGUACUGUGAAGGAAAGGUUAAAAGAACCCCGGGAGGGGAGUGAAAGAGAUCCUAAAACCCUAUGUUUACAAACUGUGGGAGACUGUAAAGUCGACCGCGUACUUUUUGUAGAACGGUCCGGCGAGUUAUGCAAUUUGGCAAGGUUAAGUAGUUAAGCUACGGAGCCGAAGCGAAAGCGAGUCUGAAGAGGGCAUCAAGUCAAAUAGCAUAGACCCGAAACUGUGUGACCUAUCCAUGACCAGAUUGAAGCUGGAGUAAAAUCCGGUGGAGGAUCGAAGCCACAUCCGUUGAAAAGGGUGGGCAUGAGUUGUGGAUAGCGGAGAAAUUCCAAUCGAACUCAGAGAUAGCUGGUUCUCCUCGAAAUAGCUUUAGGGCUAGCCUGUACUAAUAUCUAACGCAGGUAGAGCACUGAAUAUCUAAGGGGGCGUCAAAGUCUACCGAGGAUUAUCAAACUGCGAAUGGCGUAUAGAGGUAAGUAUGGAGACAGACUUGCGGAGAUAAGUUUGUAAGUCAAAAGGAAAAGAGUCCAGACCUACAGCUAAGGUCCCCAAAUACGUGUUAAGUGGAAAAGGAUGUGAGAUUUCAAAUACAACUAGGAUGUUGGCUCAGAAGCAGCCAUUCAUUCAAAGAGUGCGUAAUAGCUCACUAGUCGAGAGGUCUUGCGCCGAAAAUUAACGGGGCUAAAACACGAUACCGAAGCUUAGGAACAGUAAUGUUGGUAGAGGAGCAUUGAUAACGCGCAGAAGUAGAAUUGAGAAGUUUUAUGGAGUGUUAUGAAGAGAGAAUGCCGGAAUAAGUAGCGAGAUUUAAGUGAGAAUCUUAAAGGCCGAAUAUCCAAGGUUUCCAGGGUCAAGCUUGUCUUCCCUGGGUAAGUCGGGACCUAAGGUGAGGCAGAAAUGCGUAGCCGAUGGACAGCUGGUGAAAAUUCCAGUACCUUUAGUAAUCAGAAAUGUGGGGACACAUGAGCAAAGUUCUAGCGUGUAAUGAUAAACCACGUAGAGGCGUGUAGUGUGCUUGUAGGCAAAACCGCAAGUGAAUCGAAGACGCGGAAGGAUCGAAAUUAGAGUAGAGAAGAGAAUGGAACUUGUGUCGAGAAAAGCCGCUAUUGUGUUACUAAAGCCCGUACCGUAAACCGACACAGGUGGAUGAGGAGAGAAUCCUAAGGCC
rnacentral:rRNA from 1 species